UACGGGAGGCAGCAGUGGGGAAUAUUGCACAAUGGGCGCAAGCCUGAUGCAGCCAUGCCGCGUGUAUGAAGAAGGCCUUCGGGUUGUAAAGUACUUUCAGUCGUGAGGAAGGUGUUAAGGUUAAUAACCUUAGCAAUUGACGUUAGCGACAGAAGAAGCACCGGCUAACUCCGUGCCAGCAGCCGCGGUAAUACGGAGGGUGCGAGCGUUAAUCGGAAUUACUGGGCGUAAAGGGCACGCAGGCGGUUAAUUAAGUCGGAUGUGAAAUCCCCGGGCUUAACCUGGGAAUGGCAUUCAAGACUGGUUAGCUAGAGUCUUGUAGAGGGGGUAGAAUUCCAUGUGUAGCGGUGAAAUGCGUAGAGAUGUGGAGGAAUACCGGUGGCGAAGGCGGCCCCUGGGACAAAGACUGACGCUCAUGUGCGAAAGCGUGGGGAGCAAACAGGAUUAGAUACC
rnacentral:rRNA from 1 species